CAGUCGCCGCGGGAAUACGUAGGUGGCAAGCGUUGUCCGGAAUUACUGGGCGUAAAGCGUGCGCAGGCGGUUAUAUAAGUCAGAUGUGAAAUCCCCGGGCUCAACCUGGGAACUGCAUUUGAGACUGUAUGGCUAGAGUGUGCCAGAGGGGGGUAGAAUUCCACGUGUAGCAGUGAAAUGCGUAGAUAUGUGGAGGAAUACCGAUGACGAAGGCAGCCCCCUGGGAUAACACUGACGCUCAUGCACGAAAGCGUGGGGAGCAAACAGGAUUAGAUACCCCCGUAGUCCCUGUCUCUUAUAC
rnacentral:rRNA from 1 species